CCUACGGGAGGCAGCAGUGAGGAAUAUUGGUCAAUGGGCGUAAGCCUGAACCAGCCAAGUCGCGUGAGGGAUGAAGGUUCUAUGGAUCGUAAACCUUUUUUAUAAGGGAAUAAAGUGCGGGGCGUGUCCCGUUUUGUAUGUACCUUAUGAAUAAGGAUCGGCUAAAUCCGUGCCAGCAGCCGCGGUAAUACGGAGGAUCCGAGCGUUAUCCGGAUUUAUUGGGUUUAAAGGGUGCGUAGGCGACCUUUUAAGUCAGCGGUGAAAGUCUGUGGCUCAACCGUAGAAGUGCCGUUGAAACGGGGAGACUUGAGUAUGUUUGAGGCAGGCGGAAUGCGUGGUGUAGCGGUGAAAUGCGUAGAUAUCACGCGGAACCCCAGUGGCGAAGGCGACCUGCCAGGCCAUGACUGACGCUGAGGCACGAAAGCGUGGGGAGCAAACAGGAUUAGAUACCCCGGUAGUC
rnacentral:rRNA from 1 species